UGAAUCCUACGGGGGGCAGCAGUGGGGAAUAUUGCACAAUGGGGGAAACCAUGAUGCAGCAACGCCGCGUGAAGGAAGACGGUUUUCGGAUUGUAAACUUCUGUUCUUAGUGAAGAAUAAUGACGGUAGCUAAGGAGCAAGCCACGGCUAACUACGUGCCAGCAGCCGCGGUAAUACGUAGGUGGCAAGCGUUGUCCGGAAUUACUGUGUGUAAAGGGAGCGCAGGCGGGAAGCCAAGUCAGCUGUGAAAACUACGGGC
rnacentral:rRNA from 1 species